GCUUCUCGCUGGAGUGCGCACCGAGCGGCAGUGACUUCGCCGCUGCUGUAGUUCCCCGGCUGGAUGCGGUGACUGGUGCCAGUGCUCAGGCGCCCGCUGCCCUUGACCUCCCGCCCCGCGAGCCCUAACUCAGCGCAGGAGGACCGGCUGCCGCCGCCGCCGCCGCCAGAGCCUUGGCUGCCCAGUUGCCAGUCCUACCACGGUCGGAGGUAACCUUCCUGGCUCCAGUCACAUGGCCAGAUAAGGUGGUGUGUGUGGGCAUGAAUUAUGUGGACCACUGCAAAGAACAGAACGUGCCCGUGCCCAAGGAGCCCAUCAUCUUCAGCAAGUUUGCCAGCUCCAUCGUGGGGCCCUAUGAUGAGGUGGUCCUCCCACCACAGAGCCAGGAGGUAGAUUGGGAAGUGGAGCUGGCCGUGGUCAUUGGAAAGAAAGGCAAGCACAUCAAGGUGAAGUGGAAAAGGUGGGCUCCCAGGCCAGAGUGCAGCAGAGUCCCCAGCUCCUGCCUCUCCUAGUUCUGACCUCGCUCACCAACACAUGGUGCCAGCUGUCCCUGACACUAGGAAGCAGUCAGCCUCCUUGCUCCCUGACACUGCCUUUCCCUUCACCCACCUUUGGCUGGCUCUGGCUACUAACAUGGGAUAACAGCUUUGAGAUCCCUUGCCACAGGUGUUGGUGUCACCCAUGAUCUAUCCUCCUGUAUGGCCAAAUCCCCUGCCCCCAUAGGCCACAGAUGCCAUGGCCCACGUGGCCGGCUUCACUGUGGCUCAUGACGUGAGUGCUCGUGACUGGCUAACAAGAUGCAAUGGGAAACAGUGGCUGCUGGGAAAAACCUUCGACACCUUCUGCCCUCUGGGCCCUGCCUUGGUGACCAAGGACAGUGUAGCAGAUCCACACAACUUAAAGAUCUGCUGUCGAGUGAAUGGGGAAGUGGUCCAGAGCAGCAACACCAACCAGAUGGUAUUCAAGACAGAGGACCUGAUAGCCUGGGUGUCCCAGUUUGUUACCUUUUACCCAGGGGAUGUCAUCCUGACUGGGACCCCCCCACCUCCACCCAGGUGUCGGUGUAUUCAGGAAACCUCCUGUCUUUCUCAAGGUCUCUGAAGGUCCAGACAGCACUGAUGGCGAGCUUUGGGUCCGCACACUCUGGAAAGAAGAGAGAAGUGAAGGCUCUAGGGGGCAGCAGCCACCAGCAAACACCACUGCCUGCAGGAGCCUGGGCUGACUGGUUGGGACUCACCGAAGAUCCCUUCUUCCUGGGCGGUGGCCUGCAGGAACUGGAACAGCUGCUCUGUGUAGCCCAACUCUGCAGAAGAGAGAAGACCUAGACCUGGCACCCAGCACAGACACAGCCUGCCUCGAGGACUGCAAGGGAACAAGGGCCUCACCAGUAUCGGGCAGCUGGCCCUGGCGGAGGAAGGCGGCAGCCUGUGCAAAGGCCUUGAGCAGCGGGCUGAGCAGGCGGCAGAGGAAAAGAAAGAAAUCUGGGCAGUGUGACUGCUGGCUGAGCUGGAGGGGACAGGCCGGGGUGAGUGCAGCUCCCCACCGCCUCCCUACCACCUCCCUCCAGGGGCAGCUUUUUGAAACACACCCUGAAGUACCGGCCGUCAGCCUCUCCGAAGUCAUCACUGUCACUAUCAGUAAAGUCCCCACUCGGUUUCCACA
ensembl:lncRNA novel transcript